rnacentral:tRNA from 1 species
ACCUGGCUGGCUCAGUCGGUAGAGCAUGUGACUCUUGAUCUUAGGGUUGUGAAUUUGAGCCUAACGUUGGGUG